rnacentral:rRNA from 1 species
GGGAGUACGGUCGCAAGAUUAAAAUUCAAAUGAAUUGACGGGGGCCCGCACAAGCGGUGGAGCAUGUGGUUUAAUUCGAUGCAACGCGAAGAACCUUACCUACUCUUGACAUCCAGAGAACUUUCCAGAGAUGGAUUGGUGCCUUCGGGAACUCUGAGACAGGUGCUGCAUGGCUGUCGUCAGCUCGUGUUGUGAAAUGUUGGGUUAAGUCCCGCAACGAGCGCAACCCUUAUCCUUGUUUGCCAGCGAGUAAUGUCGGGAACUCCAGGGAGACUGCCGGUGAUAAACCGGAGGAAGGUGGGGACGACGUCAAGUCAUCAUGGCCCUUACGAGUAGGGCUACACACGUGCUACAAUGGCGCAUACAGAGGGCGGCCAACUUGUGAAAGUGAGCGAAUCCCAAAAAGUGCGUCGUAGUCCGGAUUGGAGUCUGCAACUCGACUCCAUGAAGUCGGAAUCGCUAGUAAUCGUGGAUCAGAAUGCCACGGUGAAUACGUUCCCGGGCCUUGUACACACCGCCCGUCACACCAUGGGAGUGGGCUGCAAAAGAAGUAGGUAGUUAAC